UUGGAGGGCAAGUCUGGUGCCAGCAGCCGCGGUAAUUCCAGCUCCAAUAGCGUAUAUUAAAGUUGUUGCAGUUAAAAAGCUCGUAGUUGAAUUUCGAGAUCAGUACGCUGGUCGUGCCUUCGGUAUGCACUGGUGUCACUGGUUUCUCCCUUCUGAAGAACCGUCAUGUCAUUAAGUUGGUGUGGCGGGGACUCAGGACUGUUACUUUGAAAAAAUUAGAGUGUUUAAAGCAGGCUCGCGCUUGAAUACAUUAGCAUGGAAUAAUGAAAUAGGACGUUUGACCCUAUUUUGUUGGUUUCUAGGAUCGACGUAAUGAUUAAUAGGGAUAGUUGGGGGCAUUAGUAUUCAAUUGUCAGAGGUGAAAUUCUUGGAUUUAUUGAAGACUAACUACUGCGAAAGCAUUUGCCAAGGAUGUUUCCAUUAAUCAAGAACGAAAGUUAGGGGAUCGAAGACGAUCAGAUACCGUCGUAGUCUUAACCAUAAACUAUGCCGACUAGGGAUCGGAUGAUGUUAAUUUUUUAAUGACUCAUUCGGCGCCUUACGGGAAAC
rnacentral:rRNA from 1 species